UUUGGUACUUAUUAGAGCAGUUCUGGCCAGACGUUGCAUGAAGAAAAGCUGCGUGGUUACCCAAGGGAUAACUCCUUCAACAGCUCACAGCUUACCUGCCUUUGCUGUCCUCAGAAAAGAAAGACCAGGAGGGCAAGAGAAGAAAGAACCUCCAAAGAAAAAAGGGGAAGGAGCUGCACUUGCUGAGUUUGGACAAUCUUCUGCCAGUAGGAGCAAGUCAAAAACUGCUUCUCUGUGGUGCUCAUCAGGGGAUUGUUCAUAAAGCUUGACCUGCGUUUCUUCCUGGGCCUUGGCAGAUCGUUUUUCUCCACUUGUCUUAUGAAAAGAUGAAGACUGCAGUCCUGGAGCUGGACGAGACUGUGCUGAGCACUAGCGCGGUGCAGAACUUGCUCAAGCUGCUGCCACAGGUGGUGAAGCUCAGAAAAAUGAGUAUGGCAGAGUAUGAGCAGUUUGGGGUUCUGGCAAGAAAAUAAAUGAAGAGCUAAGAGCUCCCUAUUUGUCUUCCCCAAGCACUUUGAGACGGUCUCAGCUGUCCUAUUUUUGAGACAUAGGAGAAAUCUGAUGUUUGAAAUGCAAAAGCAUCUGGUAAAACUCCAACAGGUGUCUGCUGAGAACUUGAAGAAAAGCUUAAACAUGACAAAAGAAGAGAGUCUGAAUGUGCAGUGUAACAUUCCGAACUUUCCAGCCAACACGGGAAGCUGUCACGGAGAAUCCAAAGCGGCAUGAAACAGAUGAUACACCGUGCAACGCUGGCGAAGGAGGAGGCAGAGAAGAAAGGCCAGGAGUGACAGGAGCAGGGAACAGCUGGUAGACACGGAUGCAGGUGGCUAACAGGGCUGGAAUGAUGGAUGUUUUACAGGAAGCUUUGUAGUCCAGCAGCCUGUCCUGACGGAGCAAGGGAGCGUGGCGGGGGAGGUGCUGCUCACCAGGUUGUGUCACCCCGCACUUCUUCCCGCAGGGAGCUCCAGGGCUGAACCAAGCAGGACCCACAAAGCUGGGGAGAAGACAAGAGAUGGACACAUCCUUCAGGAAGCCAUGGAGGUCAUCAGCUACUCAAGCUAGACGUUGCGCCUGGACAAAGGCAGAAACUGCUGGACCUGUGAGAGCUUUCAGUAAGUAAAAUGGUUUAAUUACAGGAUCUCUGUAUGGCUAUGAAGGGUAAUUUAUUAUUCUUCUCACUCUUGGGGGUGUUUGUGCUAGUUUUGUGUCAUUCUAGCUCUCCUGUCCAAUAUUUGGUCUGUCUCUGUAGGCAACUGAAGGGUCAAAAGCUUCAGCCAAGGGGAGGGACAUGGUCUGCAGUUCCUGUGGUGGAGCAGACUGGGCAGAAAGGCCACAGCCCUUCCUACACAUAGCUCAGUGUUGGGGUGCCAAAGCGGGGACCCCAGGUCUCAUCUUGCAGGGUGCUGGCUCUUGGUGCAAUAGUUUACAGUGGGAACGGCUCUGCCCCAGCUUGUGGCUUCCAGGCGUUAAGUUGUUUUCUCGUUCUAAUUUAACAUAUUUGUAACGUUGGUGUAAUGGAGCAAUCCAUAACAGCCCAGCAUCAUCUGGCACCGGCGCAUAGCUUGGCUGCUGUCACAGCCCUGCAGGAGGAGGCAGGGUGAUCCCAGCCCAGGUAGGAGCUGGGGGUACCAGGAGGGUGGAGAAGGAAAUAGGGGGGCUGGGAAUGCUCUCAGAGAGAAGGCAGGAUGACACCCUCCGAUGGGGGAGAGCCACCCAAGGAGGGAUGAGCCAGCACAGGCAGUACAGCAGUGUCUGGGGUCUUGCAGCAUGGCUGGGGUCACCCAGCACAAGGCAGGCUCUUUUCUGCAGGAGCCUGUGCCUACCCAUGUGCUGCUGGGAGCACUGGUCCCUCCUGGGGUCAUGCUGAGCCUUUGCAGCUUUUACUUUUAAUGUACUUUUAUGUUCAAUAACAAUACAAUUCCAUUUUUCAUAGCAUUUCGAGUGUUCCUGGGGCAUGUUAUCACAUCACGGAUUGGCAGGGCUGACAGAAAGCUGGGAGAGCCAAGAAGAGCUUGUGCCCCUGUGCCAGGUCAGCCCAGCAGCCCCGUGUGGCACGUGGCACGGCCACCGGUCCCCUCACAGCGGCGGCUGCACUCGGCGGGGCUCUUUGUGCGGGGCACGAUGCCUGCUCCCUGCUUCAAAUGUGCUUGGUGUCUAUUAUCUCGCUCCCAUCCCAGGUGCUCGGCUCCGGCAUGCAAACCCAGCCGUGCAUGAACCGGAGAGAAUAACAGCGAGCGAGCGGCUGCAGAUGGGCCCUUGGGAAGAGGUCGGUACGUGCUUGCGCGCGAGAGCUUUGUGCUUGAAAGAGAAAAACGCUGCUUGUAGGAGGGGAGAGGAGUUGUUCUUGUUUGGCCUCAGGCAGGAUGGUCAGGCAGGAUGGUGCUGGCGGUGGUCCAGGCACUCCCCACACACACACCUGGGUGACCAGGAGCCCACUACAAGCAAGGCUUAUCAUAGAAGGGUUUGGGUUGGAAGGGACCUUGAAGAUCAUCUUGUUCCAACCCCCCUGCCAUGGGGGGUUGGAACCCGCCUCCCGUUAGAACACCUCCCAUUAGAAUCAUAGAAUAUGUCAGGUUGGAAGGGACCUCUAAAGGCCACCUAGUCCAACCCCCCUGCAGUGAGCAGGGACAUCUUCAACUAGAUCAGGUUGCUCAGAGCCUCAUCCAGCCUGGCCUUGGAUGUCUCCAGGGAUGGGGCCUCCACCACCUCUCUGGGCAACCUGGGCCAGUGUCUCACCACCCUCAGUGUAAAGAACUUCUUCCUAAUGGCUAAUCUAAACCCGCCCUGCUCUAGUUUAUAACCAUUGCCCCUCGUCCUGUCGCUACAUGCCCUUGCCAACAGCCCCUCCCCAGCUUUCCUGUAGACCCCCUUCAGGGACUGGAAGGGGCUCUGAGGUCUCCCCAGAGCCUUCUCUUCUCCAGGCUGAACAACCCCAUUAGACUAGGUUGACUCCUUCCCCUGCCACCCGCCGGCCCCUUGUCCCGGGGAAGGGAUGAGGGAGUCAAAAAAGGGCAGGUAGGACAAUUCAGGCAUCAGUCCCUCUGCCUCAUCGAUACCGAGGGCAUCACGGGGCUUCUUGCAGGGCUGGGAGCUGCGUUACCCUCGGUCAGGGUGGUGGUGGGCUCUGCACGCACACGGAGGAGUUGUCUUUGUGCAGCCAAAUGCCCAUGGCUGCUGCUUUUAGCAUCCCCGGAAAGCUGCAAAAUGAAAGAGAAAUGGGGAUACGUGAGUUGCACCCAAGCCAGCCUGGAGCCUUGCCUGAGAGCUUUUAUUUUAUGAUAAUGGUUCCUUUGAUUUAAAGCCUUUUUUCAUGGCUUCGCAGCUGUGGGCAAGUGACGCUCUGGUAGCAUCGUGUUACCAUGGCAGUUUUUAUGCACAAAAG